AUCUGGGCGGCGGAAUUCAGGAUGGCCGGCGCGCUUUCGCGGUGCGUCGGUCGUUUGAUAUUUCCGUCGCCAACAAACCGCAGACGUCGCGACCUGUUCGCGGUCGGUCCCUGCUCGGAGGAGCCACGUUCGAGCUCGUUGUGUGCGCGUUUCGGCGCGUCACACGGCGAAGGCGUGGAUCUCUGGCUGGCCGUCGGACAGUAUGCUUAGCGGUGUCCGGUGUCGUCGUCUCGUACGCGCGGCAUCGGUACCGGUCAGCGACGAAUUCUUCGGGCCUCUUUCCGACCCGUCUUGAAACACGGACCAAGGAGUCUAACAUGCGCGCGAGUCGCGGGGUAUCGAGCGUACUUCGGUGCGCUCGUUAUGUUGCGAAACCCGUACAUGUCGAAGGCGUAAUGAAAGUGAAUGGGGAAGAUGGUGUUCCGAGUACACGUUCCGCGAUCGUCGGUAUCGCGGCCGGACACCCGCAUUCCCGGGGCGUCUCAACGGCCCGUCGCUGAUGCGGACAGUCGUCUUUCGGGGCGGCUGUCGGUCGGCGACGAACCGA
rnacentral:rRNA from 2 species